GUUUGAUUCAACCAGAUUGAACGCUGGCGGGAUGCUUUACACAUGCAAGUCGAACGGCAACACGGACUUCGGUCUGGUGGCGAGUGGCGAACGGGUGAUAAUGUAUCGGAACGUGCCUAGUAGCGGAGAUAUGCAGCGUAGCUAAUACCACAUACGCCCUUCGGGGGAAAGCGGGGGACCUUCCGGGCCUCACUGUCAAACAACUGAUAUGGAUUAGCUAGUUGGUGGGUAACGGCUCGCAAGGCGACGAUCCGUAAGCAGUUCGAGAGGACGACCAGCCACACUGGGUUUGAACGGCCAGACUCCUGCGGAGAGCAGCAGUGGGAAUUUACGGACAAUGAAAACCACGAUCUCAACGCUGUCCGCGUGUGCGAUGAAGGCGCUGGGUUGUAAACGCACGGCAGGAAAGAUACGGCACGGGAUAAUACCCGUGCAACUGACGGCCACCUGCAGAAUCAGCACCGGCUAACUACGUGCCAGCAGCCGCGGUAAUACGUAGGGUGCCAGCAUUAAUCGGAAUUACUGGGCGUAAAGCGUGCGCGGGCGGUUCAGGAAGAAAGAUGCGGAAAUCCCAGAGCUUAGCUUUGGAACUGCACAUUUUAACCUGAGCUAGAGUGUGUCGGGGAGAUGAAUUCCGCGUGUAGCAGUGAAAUGCGUAGAUAUGCGAACACCGAUGGCGAAAGCGGGGAGCCUCCUGGGAUAACACAUGCUCUUUUGCGAUGAGGGAACAAACAGGAUUAGAUACCUGGUAGUCCACACCUAAACGAUAUCAACUAGCUGUUGGCCUUCGGGCCUUGGCUGGCGCAAUAACGGCGAGUUGACCCGCCUGAAACCACGGUCGCAAGAUUAAAACUCAAAGGAAUUGACGGGGACCCACUGCGGCAGUGGAUUGAUGUGGAUUAAUUCGAUGCAACGCGAAAAACCUUACCUACCCUUGACAUGUGGAAUCCCGAAGAGAUUUGGGAGUGCUCGCAAGAGAACCGGAACACAGGUGCUGCAUGGCUAUCGUGGCUCGUGUCGUGAGAUGUUGGGUUAAGUCCUGGCAAGCGCAACCAUAUCAUUAGUUGCUACGAAGGGCCUCUAUUAAAUUGCCGGUGACAAACCGGAGGAAGGUGGGAUGACGUCAAAUCUCUGUGGCCCUUAUGGGUAGGGCUUCACACGUCUUACAAUGGUCGGGACAGAGGGUCGCCCGCGAGGGGAGCCAAUCCGGCUUCCGAUCGUAGUCCGGAUCGCAGUCUGUCGACUGCGUGAAGUCGAAUCGCUAGUAAUCGCGGAUCAACAUGUCGCAGUGAAUACGUUCCCGGGUCUUGUACACCGCCCGUCACACCAUGGGAGUGGGUUUUACCGAAGUAGCCUAACCGUAAGGAGGGCGAUUACCACGGUAAGUUCAUGACUGGGGCGAAGUCGUAACAAGGUAA
rnacentral:rRNA from 1 species